UGAAGAAGAGAGAAAGAGAAGAAGGAAGUACCUGCAGGGUGCUGGCGACACGUGCAGUACCUGAGAGUUUUUAAGAAAUGCAAAUUCCAGCGCCUGUCCAUUGCUAUACCAUUCCACACCCGAAGCUCUGGGAUUCUGGGGCCACUUCUGCAUUUGGAAACACUUUUGUGUCUUCUAAGCUGCCGCUGGCCUCCCGCCUGGCUCCCUGCAGCCCCUUCUUCCCACGACCUGACUCAGCGUCUACAGGGGCUUGCUUUGGUAUUCAAAACCCUCAGCCCGCUUUGCCUGGCAGCGGGUGAAAUAGAUGCGGUGGAAGCUGGAGGCUGUUAGGAUUAUUGCUCCUGUUUCACAGAUAAGACUGGCAUUUGGAGAUUUCUCAAGUUUCUCGAGAGUUCCAUAGCCAAGCAACGAGAAGACCAUGCUAUGACCUCCGGUGGUCAGAAUCCAACGUGGCAGGAGCCCCAGUGACUGAGUCUGAUCCCACCUUGUGCACACAGAGGAGUUGGCUCUUCCUUGGUGCACAUUUCAUUGGCCUCCCCCUCCUCGUGUGUCUGGAGCACUUCGGGAUGGUGUCUAUGGGAAGUCCCCUCCACCCAUCACUACCUUGCUAUGUUUUGUUGUUCUGUUAUUAUGUUUGCCAAGCUGUCUCUCUUUCCCUAGGUUUGAAAAUGCAAAUAGAUGUUUCUCAUAAGAAUUGUAUCAUUUCUUUUUCUGGCGCAUUUUAGUGGAAAUCUCUGUUAUACACAAUAAAUGCUGUUCUGGGGAAAUGCCACUUCCUUUAUUAUAAACAUUACAGAAUAAUGAUAACAUAAUUGAUCACAUUUCCAGAGCACUUUACAGUUUGCACUUUACAGUUGAUCGAUUUGGUCACUUUACAGUUGAUCGAUUUGAUCGCUGGGGGAAAAGCAAGACAAGUAUUCUUAUUCCCAUUUUAUAGAAGAGGAAAUCAAAACAAAGAAUUUACCGACUUAUACAGGGGAGCUGGGAAAUUUUCUAUCUGCUAAGUUUUCUUCCUGUGAGGUCCCAUCACCCACACCACACUCUGUAAACUCAUGCUCCAAUUUCUCCAGGCCACCUACUGACUUAUCUUGUGGCACGUGGACCCCCUUAAGACAAGAAAGCGUUCUUCCCUAGACUUCUGUUCUGCGUUGUGGGAACCUCAGUCAAUUCAAGAGCGAAGUUCACGAAGAUUCAGUGAUGGGUUUGUUCCUGCUGUUCCUCCUUGGAAUGGCUGCCCCUGGGUGUCUUCAGCUUCAGGGUCACCCUGCUGCUGAGACACAGCACUGCGGAGCUCACGGGGCUCACCCCAGGCUUGUUUUGACUGUACAUGGAUGUCAUCUCGGAGCUGUGGCUACUGCGGUUUGGAUGCAAAGCUCUGAAGAUGACUGUAAACACUCUACCCCCCCGUCCCAUCGGAAAAACCCAGUCCAAGGAAAACAGCAAAAGCUCAUUGAAACUAAGACAACAGCACAAAUAUUUAUGGGGGCAGAAAUUGAAACACUAGCAAAAACAAAGAAUGCUUUUC